UCAGACGAUGCGUCAUGCAUAUCAAUAAGCGGAGGAAAAGAAACUAACAAGGAUUCCCUUAGUAACGGCGAGUGAAGCGGGAAGAGCUCAAAUUUGAAAUCUUCAAGGUUUUACCUUGACGAAUUGUAGUUUAAAGAAGUGUUUUCUGUUGAAGUUUUGGUAAAAGUUCUUUGGAAUAGGACAUCCAUAGAGGGUGAGAAUCCCGUAUUUGACCAGUUACUUUUCCAGCUGUGUGAUACACUUUCAAAGAGUCGGAUUGUUUGGGAAUGCAGUCCAAAAUGGGUGGUAAAUUUCAUCUAAAGCUAAAUAUUGGCGAGAGACCGAUAGCGAACAAGUACCGUGAGGGAAAGAUGAAAAGAACUUUGAAAAGAGAGUUAAACAGUACGUGAAAUUGUCAAAAGGGAAGCGUUUGACACCAGUGUUGUUUUCUCGAAAAUCAAUUAAAAAGAGUUGGAUUUUGUGUUGUAUUGACCUUAACAGCUUGCUUCACUCUUUUCCUGCUUUUUUUAAUGCACUUUUCGUUUAACAAGUCAACAUCAGUUUCUUUUGUUGUAAAAGGGUCAUUGGAAGGUGGCUUUCUCUUCGGAGAAAGUGUUUAUAGCCUUUGAUCUCUGCAAUCGGAGAGACUGAGGUCUGCAGCGUAGAUCCUUCGGGGUUAGAUACAUUUGUGCUAAGCUACAGCUUUUCAUAGACAACUUGUUGACUAUGUUAGGUCUUGUAACUUUACCCGCUUAUGCUAUUUUACCUACGCUUAGGAUGUUGAUAUGCAUGACUGAUAU
rnacentral:rRNA from 1 species